UACGGAGGGGGCGCGCGUUAUUCGGAAUUAUUGGGCGUAAAGGGCGCGUAGGCGGCUUGAUGUGUCAAAGGUGAAAUCCCUCGGCUCAACUGAGGAACUGCCUUUGAAACUGUCUGGCUUGAGGCCGGGAGAGGGUAGCGGAAUUCCCGGUGUAGUGGUGAAAUGCGUAGAGAUCGGGAGGAAUACCUGUGGCGAAGGCGGCCUACUGGGCCGGACCUGACGCUGAGACGCGAAGGCGUGGGGAGCGAACGGG
rnacentral:rRNA from 1 species